CUUUUUUAAAAUAUCUUUUAUUAAAGCCUAUUUACCACCAUCAGUGAUGCUUCCCCCACGGCGUUUACAGACUCUCCUGCGGCAGGCAGUGGAACUACAAAGGGAUCGGUGCCUAUAUCACAAUACCAAACUUGACAACAAUCUAGAUUCUGUGUCUCUACUCAUAGAUCAUGUUUGUAGUAGGAGGCAGUUUCCCUGUUACACUCAGCAGAUACUGACAGAGCAUUGUAAUGAAGUGUGGUUCUGUAAAUUCUCCAAUGAUGGCACUAAACUCGCAACAGGCUCAAAGGACACCACAGUGAUCGUAUGGCAAGUUGAUGCGGAUACACACCUGUUAAAACUGCUUAAAACGUUAGAAGGACAUGCGUAUGGUGUCUCUUACAUAGCAUGG
rnacentral:lncRNA from 1 species